rnacentral:lncRNA from 1 species
UGUAAUUUAAACACAUGCAGCCCUGGGGCACCACAGGCAGAGGUGUGAUAAGUCUGAGCGUCCAGUCUGCAGAGAAGGAAAAUGCAAAAUCUCUGAGUCCAGAGGGUGACCCUGGCUGCACUUUGUGCCUUGUGAAGACCUGCAGACUGAGAAGCACUGAGCUGUAGCCCACAUUUAUCCAUCAGAGCCUCAUUACUUCAGCCAGUCCCAUGACAAAACCAGGUUGAUUUCAUAUCUGCCUCAUCAGUAGAACACUGUUUAAUGAGAUGGAUUCCUAUUGGAAUGAGUCAACUCUGGACCUUUCCUACUUUAACAUUGUGGGACUAGACUUUGGCUGGUGCCAAAAAGUGUGGCUACAGAGGCACUACGAACAGACAAGACAUGAAGCCGGUGUGUCCUGUUUCUGCCAAAUAUGCGACUCUGUUUGCAAGUACAAUUGGAACUGUGUAGCUUCAAAUCUAGAGGUGGCGCAGAGCCUUGUGAAAGUGAAGGAUAACUCCCCAUGUGAUUGCAAGCUAACUAGUGCACGGGAGAACAGCUCCCAGCCAAUUUAGGCACAAGAUGUACAUCAAAAUAGAAUAAGAGACUUCUAAAACAGGAGGUGGAGAAAGUGCAUACUGUUCAAAAUCCAUUAAGAGGAGCUUCAGUCAACCUCAAACGGUCAUUUCUAAUGCAAUUAAGGGAAGGUAAGAGUGCUGAGCUUUAUUGCCUCUUCAAGUACAGACUUACUAGUAAGAAUAAUGUGCUGUACAUUUCAAUGUUCCCAUAUAUGUUUACAGAUAUAAUUUUUAUUGGUACUUUUCAAAGGUAUUUGGAAAAUGCUUGGAUUAUUCUCCAUCUAUUCUAUUGUUAUGCAGUUGGAAGUGUUGCCACAGCUUCUAAAUGCUGGAAGUUUUCCUUUAGCCCUCAGAAUAAAAAAUAGCAAUAACAAGGAGGAUGCUAAAGG